rnacentral:rRNA from 1 species
CGAAAGCCUGACGGAGCAAGACCGCGUGCGGGAUGACGGCCUAAUGGUUGUAAACCGCUUUUCUCUGGGAAGAAGAUGACGGUACCCGAGGAAUAAGCCUCGGCUAACUCCGUGCCAGCAGCCGCGGUAAUACGGAGGAGGCAAGCGUUAUCCGGAAUUAUUGGGCGUAAAGCGUUCGCAGGUGGCCGUUCAAGUCCGCUGUCAAAGACCGAGGCUUAACUUCGGGCAGGCAGUGGAAACUGAAAGGCUAGAGUGCGGUCGGGGUAGGGGGAAUUCCCAGUGUAGCGGUGAAAUGCGUAGAGAUUGGGAAGAACACCGGUGGCGAAAGCGCCCUGCUAGGCCGCAACUGACACUCAGGGACGAAAGCUAGGGGAGCG